AAAUUAGUGUAUGUAAUAUUCCUGCGAAACGGACAGAUAGGACUUUCCUUUAAACCGAAAAUGGGUGAUGCACUUCUUUUUUGGAGUAUGAAACCUGAUGGUUCUCUGGAUAAAUCCAGUUUGCAUGGUGGUUGCCCUGUUAUUAAGGGGAACAAACAGUCAUCUACUAAGUGGUUGCGUGUGCAUGAGUACAAAGUUUGAGAUACUGAGCAGAAGGUCCAAAAGUUCGUAAAUUCCUACUGCUGUAACAUGUCUGAAUUCUCAGGUGAAGGCCCCAUCUUCCGGGUCUCAUGUCCACCUUUCACGUCAGCAACCAGCAUGCCAGUACACGUGAAUAUGGGACUCCACCACCUCAAUAAUGAAUUUCAUGCUCUCUCUCUCUCUAAAUGCGUUUGUCUUUAUAGCUUUGAAAGAGAUCCUCUCUUAGGCGAAAUUCUACACCACCAUCUUACACUAGAAAGAGGCAAACUGCUUGAGUAGAUCACAUUUCGGGACACAGUUGAAAAAUCUUGCAGAUUUCUAAAAUCCAAAUCAUUUGUCCGAUGAAAACCGAACCCAAAGCUUUUUGAACAGAAUGAGAGGCCAACAAUGGUUUGUCCACAUAUCAUGAACGCCAUCGCAGACCUUGCAAUGUUAAUUUAUCUGCCGCCCACAGAGUUAGAAUGAUAAUCAUCCAAGGACGCAGAAAUCGUCCCAUUUAUUCCCCCAAUUUAUUCCCAUAACAGCUGGAGGAAGAACUCUCCGACAUAGAGAUUUACUCCAGCCAUGUUGACCGGAUGGGAUGGAAAUGCUAGGAACACCGAGAAGAGCCGGCUGUUGAACCUGCCUGGUCGCUCAAUGUCUACCUCCAAUCAAGUUCCUGAUGACGUACAGCAGGAUGCCCCCAUGAUCGAAAUAGGCCAGCUCAACCUACAUAUGGAAGCCACCGAAACUUAGCAAGGAGAUGAAAAGAUGAUGAAUCUUCCAAGGAUAUACAGAAGUGACAGAUCAAUAUCGUUACCUCUCUGUUAAACCGUAUUGUGCACACAAAUGACUUGCCAUCAUCUCAGGGCUCCAUUCUCUCGGCGCACUUCUUCCUAAAUCGCGCUCUCUCCCGACGGCCGAUUUCGCUCGCCUCUCUCCGUCCCCCGACUCGCGACCGAGAAGCAAUCAUAUGUUCGCAUCUUUGUUUUGGGGGAGAAAGCUUGACCUAAAUCUGCGAUAAGAAGUUCACUGGUUUAUUGCUUCUGAUUCUAAGCGCAGCAACGCGAGAAGUGAAACUGCGGCUCUCUCUCUCUCUACCCUUGUCCGGUUUUUCCGUUCUUGGCAAAUUCGAAGAUGAGCCCACUUCUGGAUACAUGAUCUUAGGCCGACCCGUCAAGUCGAAGCCCGACGUAAUCUCGCUGCUUCGGUCCACCGAGCUGUUGAAUCGCUUGUGUCUGGGGGGUUUCAAGAUUUUCCGGGGGGGCAAUCGCCUGUUCCGUCAUUGCAGACUUCCAGGUGAGAAGAAAUGUGCCCACAAUAAUCACCCCAACACCGAACCGCCUCCUUUGUCCUCUCUCGAUCCUGAUUGACCUAAGAAUGACAAGGCAACUAUUCUUACGGACACAAUCCAGGUGCUGAAGGAUUUAACCGCGGAAGUUAACAAAUUGAAAGCUGAAUGUACAGCUCUUAUUGAAGAAUCUCGUGAGCUGAUGCAGGAGAAGAAUGAGCUCACAGAAGAGAAAUCAUCUUUAAAAUCUGAAGUUGAAAAUCUUAAUGUCCAGUACCAGCAAAGGAUGAGGGUUAUGUACCCUUGGGCUGCCAUGGAUCCAUCCGUCGUCAUGGGUCCAGCCUACUCAUAUCCAGUUCCAAUACCCGUCACUCCAGGUCCAAUACCCAUGCACUCACAACUUCAGCCUUUCCCUUUCUUUGGAAAUCAGAAUGCAAGUGCUAUUCCCGCUCCGUGUUCUACCUUUAUCCCAAAUUCAAUGCCUGCCAAUCCCACAUUUGAACAGCAGUCAACCCAAUAUGCUUCCAGUUCUCACGUGUCAAAUAAAAAAGACUCCAAAAGCAGGUCUUCAGAUCAUCAAAGGGGCAGCAUUGCAGAGCAAGACGAAGAUUCAAAUGGCAUGGCAACAGACCUUGAACUUAAGAUGCCUGGAACAUCAUCACAGCAGGACUUGACGUCCGGAGAAAAGAAGGGCAAGCAGACCCAGAGGAAGGAGAUUAGUAUUUUACUGAUGGGAGCUCGUCAAGCAAGCUUUCCUCAUCUCAGGCUUUUCCAGAUAGUUCCUCCAAUAGUGUUAGUGACAACCCAAAGUCCAGUAGAUGAAGAGUUAAGUCCAGAAAAUCUUAAUGCCACAAUUUUCUUUCCUUUUACAGGCCUAACUCAUUUUCUAGUCCUUUCGUAGUUUGUACCCUAGUUAACCGAGGCUGGUCAGUUGUAUAUUAUGUUGCGUUUGCUUAACUUACAGGGAAUUUUUUUAGUUUAUACAGAUUUCAGAGCAUAUGCCUGAAACUUGAACAAUGAAGGGCACAUUCAUUACUUUUUUAAGGGUUUAGCUCCAGCAACCAUGACAUAAUUGAUUGGAGCUCA